GAUGAACGCUGGCGGCGUGCCUAACACAUGCAAGUCGAGCGGAGAAUUCAGCAAUGGAUCCUUAGCGGCGGACGGGUGAGUAACGCGUGGGUAACCUGCCUUGUACGGGGGGAUAACACGGGGAAACUUGUGCUAAUUCCGCAUAACAUCACGGAUGGACAUCUAUUGGGGAUCAAAGGAGCAAUCCGGUAUAAGAUGGGCCCGCGUCCAAUUAGCUAGUUGGUGGUGUAACGGACCACCAAGGCGACGAUUGGUAGCCGAACUGAGAGGUUGAUCAGCCACAUUGGGACUGAGACGCGGCCCAGACUCCUACGGGAGGCAGCAGUGGGGAAUAAUGCGCAAUGGGGGAAACCCUGACGCAGCAGCGCCGCGUGAAGGAUGAAGGUUUUCGGAUCGUAAACUUCUUUGAUGAGGGACGAAACAAAUGACGGUACCUCAAAAACAAGCCACGGCUAACUACGUGCCAGCCGCCGCAGUAACAC
rnacentral:rRNA from 1 species